rnacentral:rRNA from 1 species
GACGAACGCUGGCGGCGUGCCUAACACAUGCAAGUCGAACGGAAAGGCCCUGCUUUUGUGGGGUGCCCGAGUGGCGAACGGGUGAGUAACACGUGAGUAACCUGCCCUUGACGUUGGGACAACUUCAGGAAACUGGGGCUAAUACCGGAUAGGAGCUGCUGCUGCAUGGGGGGGGUUGGAAAGUUUCGGCGGUUGGGGAUGGACUCGCGGCUUACCAGCUUGUUGGUGGGGUAGUGGCUUACCAAGGGUUCGACGGGUAGCCGGCCUGGGAGGGUGAACGGGGACAUUGGUACUGCGAGACGGCGCAGACUCCUACGGGAGGCAGCAGUGGAGAGUAUUGCACAGUGAGCGGGAGCCUGUGACAACAACGCCGCGUGCGGGAAGACGGCCUUCGGGGUGGAAACCGCUUUCGGCUGUGACGAAGCGUGAGUGACGGUAAUGGGUGAAGAAGCACCGGCUAACUACGUG